ensembl:misc_RNA Y_RNA Y RNA
AGCUGGUCCUACUGCAAUGGUGUUUGCAACUAAUUGAUCGCAACAAGUUACAGAUUCCUUUGUUCCUUCUCCACUUCCAGUGAUUCAUUUGCUAGCUUUAA